ACACAGGAGCGGGAAGUUGAGGGUGGCUGCUUGUCUCCUCCUGGGCUGUGUGUCUUCAUUAGGGUCAGGAUGGGGUUGGCAACUACAAAGACCAAUUCAGAGCAUGUAACUCCCUCAUGAUCAAGCCUGAGCCAUCAUGGAAUUUGCCUGUGUAGAAAUAAAGAAAGAUUAGCAUGUUCUGAAGGCAUCAGACAUUUUAUUAUAACAAACAUGAAGAACUGACACUGCAUUACUGUCACUGAUUUCCUUGGAUUCUCAGCAGUUUCCUUCAUUUUAUAAGUAAUAGUAAACAACAUUUGUCACCUGCAACAGACUACUUUUCACUUCCAAACUGAUGGUGAGCUGACAUUUGUAUUUCAAGUACAAAAGCUCAAGCUUCAGAGGCAUAAGUCCCAAAGAAGAUGUAUGUGGUGCGUGGAAAGAGAACAGGAAGGUUAAGAUUUCUACUACUGCAGUGA
rnacentral:lncRNA from 1 species